rnacentral:rRNA from 1 species
GCCCAUGGCCAUGCCACCCUGAACAAGCCCGAUCCCGUCUAAUCUUGGAAGCUAAGCAGGGUGGGGCCUGGUGAGUACUCGGAUGGGAGACCACCUAGGAAGACCAGGUGCUGUAGGCG